GAUGAGAACGUAGCGAAAUGCGAUAAGUAGUGUGAAUUGCAGAAUUCAGUGAAUCAUCGAAUCUUUGAACGCACAUUGCGCCCCUUGGUAUUCCGAGGGGCAUGCCCGUUCGAGCGUCAUUAUACCCCUCAAGCCUAGCUUGGUGUUGGGGCCUGCUGUUACCGGCAGCCCUUAAAAUCAGUGGCGGUGCCAUCUGGCUCUAAGCGUAGUAAUACUUCUCGCUACAGGGUCCCGGUGGAUGCUUGCCAUCAACCCCUAAUUUUCUAUGGUUGACCUCGGAUCGGGUAGGGAUACCCGCUGAACUUAAGCAUAUCAAUAAGCGGAGGA
rnacentral:misc_RNA from 1 species